AAUUAUAUACUAAGACCAAGUAAUAUUUUUUAUUCAAACCAAAAGAGACAUGAACAAAAAUAGUUGGAGAAUAGAAAUAGUUGAAAAAUAAUUAUAACAAUGUAAGAGUAUAUAAGUACAUAAAUAAUCAAAAUAAAACAUCAUUAGCAAUUUCUAUUUCGGAUCUUAUUUAUAGAAAAAAAUCAUUUUUUAAAAUUUAUUCAAUAAUUAAUAUUCUUGAUCUAUAUUUAAUUUAGAUACAUUUCUUGAUAAUUGAAG
rnacentral:lncRNA from 1 species